rnacentral:rRNA from 1 species
UCGACCGCGACCUAUAGGUACAGGCCGGAUUUCCCAGG